rnacentral:rRNA from 1 species
AGCUCCAAUAGCGUAUAUUAAAGUUGUUGCAGUUAAAAAGCUCGUAGUUGGAUUUGUGGUGUGCGUUGGGCUUCCUUCCCUUUUGGGUUGUGUGUUGCCUGGCGUUGCCAUCCUUGGGUGGAAUCUGUGUGGCAUUAGGUUGUCGUGCAGGGGAUGCCCAUCGUUUACUGUGAAAAAAUUAGAGUGUUCAAAGCAGGCUUAGGCCAUUGAAUAUAUUAGCAUGGAAUAAUAAGAUAGGACCUUGGUACUAUUUUGUUGGUUUGCGCACCGAGGUAAUGAUUAAUAGGGACAGUUGGGGGUAUUCGUAUUCCAUUGUCAGAGGUGAAAUUCUUGGAUUUUUGGAAGACGAACUACUGCGAAAGCAUUUACCAAGGAUGUUUUCAUUAAUCAAGAACGAAAG